GACGAACGCUGGCGGCGUGCUUAACACAUGCAAGUCGAACGGAAAGGCCUCUUUCGGGGGGUACUCGAGUGGCGAACGGGUGAGUAACACGUGAGUAACCUGCCCUUGACUUUGGGAUAACUUCAGGAAACUGGGGCUAAUACCGGAUAGGAGCUCCUGCUGCAUGGUGGGGGUUGGAAAGUUUCGGCGGUUGGGGAUGGACUCGCGGCUUAUCAGCUUGUUGGUGGGGUAGUGGCUUACCAAGGCUUUGACGGGUAGCCGGCCUGAGAGGGUGACCGGCCACAUUGGGACUGAGAUACGGCCCAGACUCCGACGGGAGGCAGCAGUGGGGAAUAUUGCACAAUGGGUGGAAGCCGGAUGCAGCAACGCCGUGGGCGGGAUGACGGCCUUCGGGUUGUAAACCGCUUUCGCUCAUGACGAAGCUUUGUGUGACGGUAGUGGGUAAAGAAGCACCGGCUAACUACGUG
rnacentral:rRNA from 1 species